UACGUAGGGUGCAAGCGUUGUCCGGAAUUAUUGGGCGUAAAGAGCUCGUAGGCGGUCUGUCACGUCUGAUGUGAAAUCCCCGGGCUCAACCUGGGAAUUGCAUUCGAUACUGGAUAGCUAGAGUUCGGCAGAGGGAAGCGGAAUUUCUGGUGUAGCGGUGAAAUGCGUAGAUAUCAGAAGGAACAUCAGUGGCGAAAGCGGCUUCCUGGACCAGUACCGACGUUCAGGCACGAAAGCGUGGGGAGCAAACAGG
rnacentral:rRNA from 1 species